rnacentral:rRNA from 1 species
CCUACGGGUGGCAGCAGUGAGGAAUAUUGGUCAAUGGCCGCGAGGCUGAACCAGCCAAGUCGCGUGAGGGAAGAAUGUCCUAUGGAUUGUAAACCUCUUUUGUCAGGGAGCACAGUAACCCACGCGUGGUGGUUGGAGAGUACCUGAAGAAAAAGCAUCGGCUAACUCCGUGCCAGCAGCCGCGGUAAUACGGAGGAUGCGAGCGUUAUCCGGAUUUAUUGGGUUUAAAGGGUGCGAAGGCGGGUGAUAAAGUCAGCGGUAAAAUCGGGGAGUUAAACUCCAUCCAGCCGUUGAAACUGGUGUUCUUGAGUGGGCGAGAAGUAUGCGGAAUGCGUGGGGUAGCGGUGAAAUGCAUAGAUAUCACGCAGAACUCCGAUUGCGAAGGAAGCAUACCGGCGGACAACUGACGGUGAAGCACGAAAGCGUGGGUAGCGAACAGGAGUAGAUACCCUUGUAGUC